GAUGAACGCUGGCGGCGUGCCUAAUACAUGCAAGUCGAGCGAACGGACGCGAAGCUUGCUUUUCUGAUGUUAGCGGCGGACGGGUGAGUAACACGUGGAUAACCUACCUAUAAGACUGGGAUAACUUCGGGAAACCGGAGCUAAUACCGGAUAAUAUUUUGAACCGCAUGGUUCAAAAGUGAAAGACGGUCUUGCUGUCACUUCUAGAUGGAUCCGCGCUGCAUUAGCUAGUUGGUAAGGUAACGGCUUACCAAGGCAACGAUGCAUAGCCGACCUGAGAGGGUGAUCGGCCACACUGGAACUGAGACACGGUCCAGACUCCUACGGGAGGCAGCAGUAGGGAAUCUUCCGCAAUGGGCGAAAGCCUGACGGAGCAACGCCGCGUGAGUGAUGAAGGUCUUCGGAUCGUAAAACUCUGUUAUUAGGGAAGAACAGAUGUGUAAGUAACUGUGCACAUCUUGACGGUACCUAAUCAGAAAGCCACGGCUAACUACGUG
rnacentral:rRNA from 1 species